GCGCGUGCUAUACCUGCCGUCGAGCGGACAGAAGGGAGCUUGCUCCGGAUGUAGCGGCGGACGGGUGAGUAACACGUGGGUAACUGCUGUAAGACUGGGAUAACUCCGGGAAACCGGAGCUAAUACCGGAUAGUUCCUUGAACCGCAUGGUUCAAGGAUGAAAGACGGUUUCGGCUGUCACUUACAGAUGGACCGCGGCGCAUAGCUAGUUGGUGGGGUAAUGGCUCACCAAGGCGACGAUGCGUAGCCGACCUGAGAGGGUGAUCGGCCACACUGGGACUGAGACACGGCCCAGACUCCUACGGGAGGCAGCAGUAGGGAAUCUUCCGCAAUGGACGAAAGUCUGACGGAGCAACGCCGCGUGAGUGAUGAAGGUUUUCGGAUCGUAAAGCUCUGUUGUUAGGGAAGAACAAGUGCGAGAGUAACUGCUCGCACCUUGACGGUACCUAACCAGAAAGCCACGGCUAACUACGUGCCAGCAGCCGCGGUAAUACGUAGGUGGCAGCGUUGUCCGGAAUUAUUGGGCGUAAAGGGCUCGCAGGCGGUUUCUUAAGUCUGAUGUGAAAGCCCCCGGCUCAACCGGGGAGGGUCAUUGGAAACUGGGAAACUUGAGUGCAGAAGAGGAGAGUGGAAUUCCACGUGUAGCGGUGAAAUGCGUAGAGAUGUGGAGGAACACCAGUGGCGAAGGCGACUCUCUGGUCUGUAACUGACGCUGAGGAGCGAAAGCGUGGGGAGCGAACAGGAUUAGAUACCCUGGUAGUCCACGCCGUAAACGAUGAGUGCUAAGUGUUAGGGGGUUUCCGCCCCUUAGUGCUGCAGCUAACGCAUUAAGCACUCCGCCUGGGGAGUACGGUCGCAAGACUGAAACUCAAAGGAAUUGACGGGGGCCCGCACAAGCGGUGGAGCAUGUGGUUUAAUUCGAAGCAACGCGAAGAACCUUACCAGGUCUUGACAUCCUCUGACAACCCUAGAGAUAGGGCUUUCCCUUCGGGGACAGAGUGACAGGU
rnacentral:rRNA from 1 species